rnacentral:rRNA from 1 species
AUGAUCACGUACGUAUGUCCAGGGAUCAUCAUGUCAUGCGCCGGAGGUCCAUCGGGGACGGACGCGACGACGUCUGAUAUGGUGAUGGGGAUCGAAUUGAGGAUUUGGGGAAUGUGUAAACGGCGGCCGGGCUGGGGCUGGCAUGCAUGGUUGGUAGCUCGCGUACGUACGUCUUGCUUAGCCGGUGGGCGGCUUUGGAUUUUUGUAGCGCGUAGAUACCUCUAUUUAAUUCUUGGCGGGAUGUCGCCGUCUAUGUAUGCUGUGUUCCACUCCACGGCGGCCGCGCGCGCGUCGCUGUUACCGCGGAGGCGCGGGCGUCGAUCGCCGGGCUCCGCUGUGUGA